GGCUCUGUGGUGAAUUUCAUGUUGAGUUGCAAACUCAAAGAUGUGUAUUAGAUGUACACCAGGGUCU
rnacentral:tRNA from 1 species